UUCAAUGAUGAUCACCAUACACAUAAGCAUAGUUCACCUGAGAUCUUCGGAUCGCUGAACGACAAACCUAUACCAUCUUUCGCUCCUAUCUGAAA
rnacentral:snoRNA from 1 species